GGCUCCUAUUCCGGGGAUACCUUACACAUGCAAGUCGAACGGCAGCACGGACUUCGGUCUGGUGGCGAGUGGCGAACGGGUGAGUAAUGUAUCGGAACGUGCCUAGUAGCGGGGGAUAACUACGCGAAAGCGUAGCUAAUACCGCAUACGCCCUACGGGGGAAAGCAGGGGAUCGUAAGACCUUGCACUAUUAGAGCGGCCGAUAUCGGAUUAGCUAGUUGGUGGGGUAACGGCUCACCAAGGCGACGAUCCGUAGCUGGUUUGAGAGGACGACCAGCCACACUGGGACUGAGACACGGCCCAGACUCCUACGGGAGGCAGCAGUGGGGAAUUUUGGACAAUGGGGGAAACCCUGAUCCAGCCAUCCCGCGUGUGCGAUGAAGGCCUUCGGGUUGUAAAGCACUUUUGGCAGGAAAGAAACGUUCCGGGUUAAUACCCCGGGAAACUGACGGUACCUGCAUAGUAAGCACCGGCUAACUACGUGCCAGCAGCCGCGGUAAUACUUUUGGGUGCCAUUU
rnacentral:rRNA from 1 species